rnacentral:rRNA from 1 species
GAUGAACGCUAGCGGCAGGCUUAACACAUGCAAGUCGAGGGGUAUAGGUUUUCGGACCUAGAGACCGGCGCACGGGUGCGUAACGCGUAUGCAAUCUACCUUUUACAGAGGGAUAGCCCAGAGAAAUUUGGAUUAAUACCUCAUAGUAUUAUUGAAUGGCAUCAUUUAAUAAUUAAAGUUCCAACGGUAAAGAUGAGCAUGCGUCCCAUUAGCUAGAUGGUAAGGUAACGGCUUACCAUGGCAACGAUGGGUAGGGGUCCUGAGAGGGAGAUCCCCCACACUGGUACUGAGACACGGACCAGACUCCUACGGGUGGCUG